rnacentral:rRNA from 1 species
GACGUAGGUGGCGAACGUUAUCCGGAAUUAUUGGGCGUAAAGGGUGCGUAGGUGGCCUGACAAGUUAUCAGCGGCAAAUCGAGGCUCAACCUCGUGGAAACUGAUAAUACUGUCCGGCUUGAGUGCAGGAGAGGUUAAUGGAACUCUAUGUGGAGCGGUAAAAUGCACAGAUAUAUAGAUGAACAUCAAUAACGGCGAAGGCAAUUAACUAUUCUGUCACUGACACUGAGGCACGAAAGCGUGGGGAGCAAAACGG